CUGCCCAAUGAGGUAUUAAAUGGCCGCGGUACUUUGACCGUGCAAAGGUAGCAUAAUCAUUAGUUUUUUAAUUGAAAGCUGGUAUGAAAGGUUGGAUGAGAGAAUAGCUGUCUCUAUUUAAAUUUUUUAAAAUUUUAUUUUUAAGUAAAAAAGCUUAAAUAAAAAUAGAAGACGAGAAGACCCUAUAGAGUUUUAUAGAUUUAAAAUUUAAAAAGUCUUUAGGAUUAAAAAAAUUUUAAAUUUAAAUAUAUUUAGUUGGGGUGAUUGAAAAAUUAGACAAACUUUUUUUAUAUUAUAACAUUAAUUUAUGAUUAGUUGAUCCUUAAAUAAAGAUUAUAAGAAAAAAUUACCUUAGGGAUAACAGCGUAAUUUUUUUAAAGAGUUCAAAUCGAAAAAAAAGAUUGCGACCUCGAUGUUGGAUUAAAAUAAAAUUUUGGUGUAGGGGCUAAAGUAUUUGGGUCUGUUCGACCCUUAAAAUUUUACAUGAUCUGAGUUUAAACCGGUGU
rnacentral:rRNA from 1 species